CUGGGGCUCGAGCCCACGGUUAACCUAUUUCCCUUUGGCUGACAGGAGGAAUAUUUCACAGUCGAGGACAGGUUCACUUUGAGAACCUCAGCGUGGCCGAGCCUGGGGGGAGAACCUGCAGGAGGAGGAGAUGCAGUGUCGCAGGUGGACCCAGCAGCCAAUUUGACCUUUAACCUGCGGCUGACAGAUAAGGAACUCGAGGCGAAGCAGCGGGUGCCGCUGCCCUAUCACUUCAGUGCUGAGAAAAAGAUGUCGCUGCUGGACAGCGGAGCUGGAGAGGGGAGGAUAUACUACGAGCCUGACCAAGCAGACGACAUCGAUGAUGAGGACCCCGACGAUGAUCUGGAUAUAUAGGACUGAGGCAUGGAACCUCCCCUGAGACACUCCCUCACCCUCGACACAAGCCAGUCCCAUCUGCUGGCACAGAAUCCUCCCCCCGCCUCACAAAACGAGGCGCAGAGUUGACUGGGCACCCUCACUGGAAGCGUGGGCAACAAAUCGUCGAACCUGUGCUCCCUCCUGCACUGCUCCCUGACCACUGGAUAAGAAUUGAUGCGGAGUUGGAGUUGUCCCUGUAACGCUGGGCCCUUUUAUUCCUGUCCGUAACAUGAUUAAAACACUCCAUCUCAAA